UACGAACUGUGCAAACGUUAUUCGGAAUCACUGGGCUUACAGGGUGCGUAGGCGGCUUGUUAAGUAGGGUGUGAAAGCCCCCGGCUCAACCGGGGAAUUGCGCCCUAAACUGGCGAGCUGGAGUGAGAUAGGGGUGUGUGGAACUUCCGGUGGAGCGGUGAAAUGUGUUGAUAUCGGAAGGAACGCCGGUGGCGAAAGCGACACACUGGAUCUUGUCUGACGCUGAGGCACGAAAGCCAGGGGAG
rnacentral:rRNA from 1 species